rnacentral:rRNA from 1 species
AGAGUUUGAUCCUGGCUCAGGAUGAACGCUAGCGACAGGCUUAACACAUGCAAGUCGAGGGGCAGCGGGGCGGCAGGCUUGCCUGCCGUUGCCGGCGACCGGCGCACGGGUGAGUAACACGUAUGCAACCUGCCCGUGGCAGGGGGAUAAGCGGGGGAAACCCCGUCUAAUACCGCGUAACGCGGCCUAGGGACAUCCCAAGGCCGCCAAAGGGAGCAAUCCCGGCCACGGAUGGGCAUGCGGCGCAUUAGCUAGUCGGCGGGGUAACGGCCCACCGAGGCGACGAUGCGUAGGGGUUCUGAGAGGAAGGCCCCCCACACUGGUACUGAGACACGGACCAGACUCCUACGGGAGGCAGCAGUGAGGAAUAUUGGUCAAUGGGCGCGAGCCUGAACCAGCCAAGUCGCGUGAGGGAGGACGGCCCUACGGGUUGUAAACCUCUUUUGCCGGGGAGCAACGGGCGCCACGUGUGGCGCCACUGANAGUACCCGGAGAAAAAGCAUCGGCUAACUCCGUGCCAGCAGCCGCGGUAAUACGGAGGAUGCGAGCGUUAUCCGGAUUUAUUGGGUUUAAAGGGUGCGU